UUGAGUAAACCAUUAGGUAGUCGGCACCAUCUAAGAUCACUAUCUAAGUGGUAGAGUCGACGAAUAUAAGUGAAUGAUUUCGAAAAAAAUGAUGAUGAUAAGUAAUAAAAAAGGGUAGUAUAAAUCUGAAAAGGGGACUACGCAUUCUAAGUCAGGUGACCCUCACCCGGUCAUUUAGCCCAACUGCGAAUCACCUCUAAGAUAUAAAGCUAUCCUAUGUCAAAAAGGACAACAAGUAAUAUGAAAAAGAAUCGGAUCAUAAUCACUAACAGACUCACUACCAUGUGUGUGUGAAUAGAUAACGGGCUUAAUGUGAUUACCAAAGGUUUAAAAGGGAUGAAGAAAGACGAGAUUAAAGUU
rnacentral:lncRNA from 1 species